rnacentral:rRNA from 1 species
UACGUAGGGUGCGAGCGUUGUCCGGAAUUAUUGGGCGUAAAGAGCUUGUAGGCGGUUUGUCGCGUCCGCUGUGAAAAUCCGAGGCUCAACUUCGGACUUGCAGUGGGUACGGGCAGACUAGAGUGUGGUAGGGGAGACUGGAAUUCCUGGUGUAGCGGUGGAAUGCGCAGAUAUCAGGAGGAACACCGAUGGCGAAGGCAGGUCUCUGGGCCACUACUGACGCUGAGAAGCGAAAGCAUGGGGAGCGAACAGG